GAGAGAUAACUAAGGGAACAAUAAGUGGAACAAUUCUAAAUCUAUGAACCAAACUAGAUCUCACUUCUGAGUCUACAUUUGAGCCCAGAGAGAAAAUAUGCGAAAAGAGUACGAUUAUGUUGAAAUUUUCUUUCUUUAUUUGUUGAAGGGUGAUUGAAAUCAAUAUGGAUGUAGAUGUGGGAACAAUUAAUGAAUAUGAAGAUGUUGAGAUUUUGGAUGUUAUUAACAGCAAAGACCAAAAAUUUGAAGUUAUUGAAGUUACAAAAUGUCAGAAAGUUGAAAUGAAAAUUUGAGUGGAAUUUGGUAAGGUAAAGCACAAAACGGGAAUCAAAAUCCACAAAAGAUUCAAUGCAUCAGUGGUUCAAGCAGCUGGAUAUAAGAAAGAUGUGUAACUUAUACAAAUCUUAUUGUUACCAAUAAUUAAAUUCCUUUAUUAUAAUUUUGAAUGUAAAUUGUAAGCUUUGCUUGUA